AGGAUAUUAGUUAAAAUUAUAACAUUUAUUUAGCAUUUAAAAAUUAUUUUAUAUAAUAUAUCUUA
rnacentral:tRNA from 2 species